CAAGUUUAAGCUUUAAACAUCUAUAGCCUUGAAUCAAGAGCAAAUUUUGGAGGAGUUUUCAAGAUUUGAAGCAAAAGAGGAGAUUUUUAUUUUUGUUCAAAUCCUUGAGUAAGUGAUGAAUCCUUUUAGAUCUAGACUUAAAUGUGUUGUAUAUGUGUAUAUAUGGAUAGAUCAAGCAAGAAAACACCCCUAUCCCUUCUUUGUGAUUUUCGAAAAUUUGGGUCUUUUACCCUUCAAAAAAUUUUUUCUUUUCCUUUUCUUAAAUUGAUGUUAUUUAAAUACUAUUGGGUGCCUAAUUAGUCUAUUUCCAUGUGUAGAUAAUUGAAUUAAAAAGAGAUAUGAGAUUUGAAAUAGUUUAGUUUGUGUAAAUUUGGGAAGUUUUGUAUUUGAGGCUUGAUUGAUGAAUUGAUGGAUGAUAUAUGCUAUUGAGAGUGUUUAUAUGAGAUUUGAUGGAUUGGAUUGAUGGUUGAAAUUGAUUAGUAAUUUUUGAUAUGAGUUAGUUUGAUGUAAUUUGGGUAAAAUUGAUUCUAUGGUUUAAUUUACUAAUUGGUUGUUUAUUUAUGCUAUUAAGUGUGUCAAUUUGAUAGAUCUAAGGUUGGAUUAAUGAUUUAUGCAUGUUUACAAAUUUUCAAAAAGUUUAGUUUGUUAAAAAUUGGGACUUUGUGAUCUAUGUGUUAAUUGAUUAAAUUGGCUAAGUUUAAUUGUUAUUAAGCAUGAUAGAAAUGAUAAUUAGGGAUCAAUUUGGUUAAUUGUCAAGAAUGCCUAAAAUUGGUUAAGUUUAGUUUGCUAGUAAUUGGGAACUUUUGAGUAAUGAAAUAAAUACUUGAAUUGAUGAUGUUUAUAUGAUAGUUAGACUACUAGCAAGGAGAAAGCAUGAUUAAAUUGGUUAAUGAUGUUGAUUUGUGAAAAUUUUCCGAGUUUAGUUUGCGUGCAUACAUGAGAUCCUGUAUAUAAGAUGAGUUAUGAGCCAAGCAUGUCUAUAUGUGGCUUUUUGAUGAUUAUUUGAGCUUAUAUAUGCAAUAUGAGAUGAAACGGACCAACCCCUAAUGACCUAUGUGUUGGCCGAAUGUAGGGAGAAAAAGGGGAAGUCGAUGUUUGAAUUUUCUUGAGUUAUAUGAUUAUGUAUUUAUGUUAUUGUGUAUUAUGUGAGCUUAAUUUGAAUUUUUGAGAAUUUUGCAUCGAAGAAAUCCAAAGUCUAGGUAUAAUUGCUUGUAUGUUCAAGUUUGGAGUCAUUUUAUGACCUUUUAUACCUACUGUUUCGUUGGGUUCUUGUUACCCAAAGACCUUGAAAAUUUUAUGGUAAGAUUAAAUAAGAGUCAGGAGCAUAGCGGUAAAAUUUCACGUCAAUUGGACUUUGUUUAUUAUUUUUAUAAAAUAGAAAACUAAAACUGCUACCUGCUGCCGAAAUGUUCGGUGAGUAUCCAAUAGAGUCACCUCUUCCAGUGUCCUUUCCUUCCCUAACUUUUUGGAGCCUAAAUUUUUAUUUUUAAGACAUGAGUGUCUUAUAUAAGUACCCACCAAAUUUCAAGCCUUUUCGGCAACGUUUACUAUUUUGCAAAAAUCAAAGUUUUCAAUUGCUCAAAACUGCCGAAUAUGGUAGACUGUAGGAAAACAGUCAUAUCUCCUAAACUACUUGGAGUUUUUCAUCCUACUUUUUUUUUGAAUGAAACUAGACUCAAAGAGGUUUUAAAUGGUAUAGGUCAUGACUCCAGUGGAGCUCUGUACCGAAUCUGCUGAAGUCUUUAAAUCGAAUCAGUGCAGAAUGAUGUUUGUUUGUGACAUGUCUAUGUGUGAAUUUAUAUGUUUAUGUGAUUAUGCUUGUUUAUGUGCUUGAUUGCUAUGGGUUUAAUUCGAGUUGAGUGUUAAGUCGAGAGUAGGACUUGUGAAUCCUUAGGAGUUAAGUAUACCUAGGGAUUGAGAUUUAGUUGGGUAAAUAGAAGAUGAGUGAUAAGUUAAAGUUUGAGAUGAGAUUGAAUCUUAGUAAAUGAGUUUCUAACUGAGGUUUAUCUUAUCUCAUGAACCACUCCGACGUUGUGACAUCUGAAUAUACAAGCAGAGGACGGAGGUAAGAUCGUCCAAGUACUACGAGAGUAAGCUAAGUUUGUCAGGAUAAGCGAGAAGGAGGAAGAUCGGUCUGGUGCUGGCGGGGACUUAUUUUGGAUGACAUUGUUCCUUUUACCGUAUUUAUAUUACAUACGGUAGCUUUUUGAUGUCGAUGUUUAUAUUUUGGACUUAGUCAAGAAGUAUACUCUCGGCUAUAUGUCUUCAUACAUAUAGUCUGUUCACGUUUUGCUGCGAGACUCUGUAAAUUGUGAACCUUUGUGAAUUUUUAACUAUGUCCGCUUUGUAAACUUUGUCGAGAAUCCUUGUACUUUUGAACUUAUGAAGCCGAUAAUAUUUGUGUCUUUGAGAUGA